rnacentral:tRNA from 1 species
GGAGAGAUGCCGGAGCGGUUGAACGGGGCGCUCUCGAAAAGCGUUGUGCCCUCGGGUACCGUGAGUUCGAAUCUCACUCUCUCCG